rnacentral:misc_RNA from 1 species
AGUCACAUGAUAAAGCUAUGGAAAAGAGUGAUUGAAUGCGAACUUAGAGCCACUACUAAGGUAUUGGAGAACUAGUUUGGUUUUAUGCUUGGUAGAUCUACAACAUAAUUGGAGAACUAGUUUGGUUUUACACUUGGUAUAUCUACAGUAUAGUGUAUCUUUCUAUUAAGUAGAUUAAAUAGAAAUUUAUAAGAGAGGAAGAAGAAUCUUUACAUGGUAUUCAUUAACUUGAAAAAGACAUAUAAUAUGGUAUCGAGGGAAGUUCUUUGGUGGGUGUUG